CCUACGGGUGACAGCAGUGAGGAAUAUUGGUCAAUGGACGAGAGUCUGAACCAGCCAAGUAGCGUGAAGGAUGACUGCCCUAUGGGUUGUAAACUUCUUUUAUAUGGGAAUAAAAUGUUCCACGUGUGGGAUUUUGUAUGUACCAUAUGAAUAAGGAUCGGCUAACUCCGUGCCAGCAGCCGCGGUAAUACGGAGGAUCCGAGCUUUAUCCGGAUUUAUUGGGUUUAAAGGGAGCGUAGGUGGAUUGUUAAGUCAGUUGUGAAAGUUUGCGGCUCAACCGUAAAAUUGCAGUUGAAACUGGCAGUCUUGAGUACAGUAGAGGUGGGCGGAAUUCGUGGUGUAGCGGUGAAAUGCUUAGAUAUCACGAAGAACUCCGAUUGCGAAGGCAGUUCACUGGACUGCAAAUGACACUGAGGCUCGAAAGUGUGGGUAUCAAACAGGAUUAGAUACCCGUGUAGUC
rnacentral:rRNA from 1 species